rnacentral:rRNA from 1 species
UACGAAGGGGGCUAGCGUUGCUCGGAAUGACUGGGCGUAAAGGGCGCGUAGGCGGUUUGUACAGUCAGGUGUGAAAUUCCCCGGGCUGCAACCUCGGGGGUGCUGCACUUGAUACGUAUGGACUGGAGUGGGGAAGAGGGUCGUGGAAUUCCCAGUGUAGAGGUGAAAUUCGUAGAUAUUGGGAAGAACACCGGUGGCGAAGGCGGCGACCUGGUCCUUGACUGACGCUGAGGCGCGAAAGCGUGGGGAGCAAACAGG